ensembl:lncRNA
UUUUUUUAUGUUGGCAGGGUUCACACACACACUAGCUGAAUUUGCAGAGCUAGCGGGCAAACACGAACUAUUAAGCUAGCUAGUACCUAUUCCAUUUAUGUGGCGUCGUCAAAGAUGAAGAUGGAAUCUUUGCUAUUGUCAGUUCAUUCCAAGAUCAGCAUGCAGCUGUAGUGCUUCAAAGUCCCUGUGAUAAGGUUAGCAAUAAAUUGAACAGAACUACGCUCUCUUCUACCAUUGUCUUAAAUAUCUUUAAUGGUCUCGUUGCAAAGGCUAAAUUGUCGCUAUGGGACUUUGAAGCACAUGUGUGACGAUCUUGGAGUAAACUGAUGACAGCAAAGAUUAUAGCAAACACCACAGAAACGGAAUUGGUGCUCGCUAGCUUUGCAAAUUCAGCUAUUGUUGGAAGCCAGCCAAUAUGAAACAAACUAUUAAAAUGACAAAAGGUUGCAGCAUAUGUUGUGUAAAUGGUGAACUCAUACAGCUGUCAACUCUUGUCACUGCAAUCCGUUUCACAUUUGCUAGCUACCGUUUAGAUCGAAGCCCAUAUAGAAUGAUAGAAGAUAAGAUGAUAGAAGCCCAUCUCCUACUGCAGAUCAGCCAACAGAGGGCACACAGACAGCAGAGCUGGGGAUAGGUGGGCAGGGACAGACUGGCAGAGAGGGAGUCUCAGGAGACAGACUGUGAGGCAGUGAGGGUGGUGAAAGGGAGAGACUUCAGAGGACAGUGGCACAGCCACGGCAGGACCAGGUGUCAACCUUGUUGCCAGCAGCACCAGUAUAGGGGACAGUGGCACAGCCACGGCAGGACCAGGUGUCAACCUUGUUGCCAGCAGCACCUGUAUAGGGGACAGUGGCACAGCCACGGCAGGACCAGGUGUCAACCUUGUUGCCAGCGGCACCAGUAUAGGGGACAGUGGCACAGCCACGGCAGGACCAGGUGUCAACCUUGUUGCCAGCUGCCCCGGUAUAGGGGACAGUGGCACAGCAUUGUCCAGUUACCUCAGUUCAGUGAUGGCACAAAACCAUAUCAGCCACAUCCACAAUUUAUAGAACCGCAAUCUCUUGCCAACAGAGUGUUGACAUUUCAAGAGAGAUGGUUUUGCGAUUUCCCCUGGCUACAUUAUAAUCCAUCAAUAAAAUAUGUGUUUUCACUGUAGCCAACCAAGGGUUUUCAAGCCAGCCAUCUUUUGGCCAAAGAGCAGAUGCUGCCUUCAUUAGCGCAGGAUUUAGGAACUGGAGAAAAGCCAUUGUAAAGUUCACAGCACAUCAUAACUGCCAAACCCACCGCCACUGUGUAACUGUAACUGUAACAGCACACCAGCUAAAUCCAAUCCGUGUCCAGUUAUCCAGCGCGUGGGGUAAACAGCAGAAAUGAUGAAAGCUACCUUGCACUGUAUGAGAAAGCUACAACAUUGAUUGAAUCCAUUGAGGCACACUCAAGACGAUUUGCUGGCAAAGCAGUGGAUCACUAUAGGGCAGAAUUUUUUUAAGUGUUGGAUGGUGUGGAGGUUCAGUUUGGCGACCGUGUUGACCAGGACAUUCUAAAAGCAUUCUGCAAAAGUUGGAAAGAGUGCUUUUCACGGGGGAGUUGGAUGAGUCUCUAGAUCAGUACUCUGAGCUGAACAUAGAUUCUCUUUCAGUGCAGUUGCCUCUCUUUCACAACAAAUACCCCUGUAGCAGCAGUUGAGAGGCAGCAGAGGUCCUCAGGAGGCUUCCAGUGGAGGUGCGGUUGUUGGUUGACCAAGUUGAGGUGCUGAUCAGAAUUUAGUCUAAUGCACAUAAAGACAGGCUGGACAGUCUUGAGGGAAAAUAUCUGCCAGCAAUUUGUUGGAUCCAUUGAAACCCUCAAACAUAGGUUUGGUUCUUUUGUUCAAUAGUGUGUAUAACAGUGGUUCUCAACCUUUUUUGAGUACUGGAACCCCUGCAUAUUUUGAGGAAAGGCAGGCAAGGUUUUGAGUGGUCCUCAGGGACCUCCACCCCCUAUAUAUUAAAUGUAACGUUAGUGGAAUCCUUGUGCUGCUGAAUACAUUCAUUAAACUUUUUUAUUUAAUGGAACCCUUGCCAUUACACCAGGGACCCCUAGGGGUCCACCUACCCUGUUUGAGAACCCCUGGUGUAUAGUAUAAUAUUUGUUAUUUUGUUUAGUAGUUUUUAGUACAUGACAGGACACUUACUAAUUAUUUAUUUGAUUUACAAUUGCAUACUUUGUGUGACAUACUUGUCCAUAGCUGUUGUUUGAAGAGCUGAGACACUGACUGAACAAUAACUAAGUAUUUCUGAAGGAUAUUUUGGUUGAUUUGUUUGGGUUUUUCAUUGAAGUAGUUAUUUUGCUUUUAGAACUGUACUUAUUCUGUGUGUUUUGUUCUUUUAAAGAUGUUGUAAUAGACUCAAACCAGUGGCACAUAUUUAAUGACUAUAUAAAUGAAUCAGAAAAAGUUAAAUAAAAAGGUCAGUUCAGUGCAGAGACCAACUUUGUGAUGGUUCUCAAUGGAGAUUCUUUGAGAUGAGAUCGCACCAUAUUUAUUGUAUUUAUGAAACCUGCACCCAUACAGUGUACAGCACCAUUACCACCUACUGGCCUUGCUUGGUAUUGCUGGUUGUAAAUACAAAUACCUGCAUACAUACUGGACUGAUAAGGAACACUGCUAUAACUAUUAUUAUUAGUAGUACUAUAAUGAUUUGAACAAGUUGAGAAAACCCUUCAGUUAACUACUGUACCUAUCAAUUAUCCAGUUGUAGUAAUUAUGGUUCCUCAAUAUACGUUUAACAUAUUACAACGUAGGCUGUGUUCCAGCACUACUUUUGGUGUCCCCCUCAGGAAUUGCUCUUGAGAAAAUGUAAUGUAAUUGUCCCCUCCAUAGUUGAUAUCAGAUUUUCGCCCCAACUCAAAUAUA